rnacentral:rRNA from 1 species
UACGGAAGGCAGCAGUGGGGAAUAUUGCACAAUGGGCGCAAGCCUGAUGCAGCCAUGCCGCGUGUAUGAAGAAGGCCUUCGGGUUGUAAAGUACUUUCAGUCGUGAGGAAGGUGUUAAGGUUAAUAACCUUAGCAAUUGACGUUAGCGACAGAAGAAGCACCGGCUAACUCCGUGCCAGCAGCCGCGGUAAUACGGAGGGUGCGAGCGUUAAUCGGAAUUACUGGGCGUAAAGGGCACGCAGGCGGUUAAUUAAGUUGGAUGUGAAAUCCCCGGGCUUAACCUGGGAAUGGCAUUCAAGACUGGUUAGCUAGAGUCUUGUAGAGGGGGUAGAAUUCCAUGUGUAGCGGUGAAAUGCGUAGAGAUGUGGAGGAAUACCGGUGGCGAAGGCGGCCCCUGGACAAAGACCUGACGCUCAUGUGCGAAAGCGUGGGGAGCAAA